GAGCGGUUCGCCGCCCGCGACGUCGCAAGAAGUCCACUGAACCUUAUCAUUUAGAGGAAGGAGAAGUCGUAACAAGGUUUCCGUAGGUGAACCUGCGGAAGGAUCAUUGUCGAAUCCUGCAAACAACCGCGAACACGUCCGGCGCGGAAAGCGCCAAGGACUACUCAAACGGAUCGUCCGGGUCGGCUUCCGCGGGGAGGGGCUCGGCACGUCUGAAACGUAAGCUAAACGACUCUCGGCAACGGAUAUCUAGGCUCUCGCAUCGAUGAAGAACGUAGCGAAAUGCGAUACUUGGUGUGAAUUGCAGAAUCCCGUGAACCAUCGAGUUUUUGAACGCAAGUUGCGCCCGAAGCCAUUAGGCCGAGGGCACGCUUGCCUGGGCGUCACGCAUCGUCGCCACCCGUGGCGGAAAUUGGCCCCCCGUUGGCGGUCGGCCUAAAUGCCAGUGUCCGCCGAGCGGGACGUCACGACAAGUGGUGGUUGAAAUCCUCAACUCGAUCGACGCCGUGACCGAAGCCGGCUAGGCACGAAAGACCCCGGUCCUCGACCAUGACCCCAGGUCAAGCGGGAUUACCCGCUGAGUUUAAGCAUAUCAAUAAGCG
rnacentral:rRNA from 1 species